UACGUAGGGUGCAAGCGUUGUCCGGAAUUAUUGGGCGUAAAGAGCUCGUAGGCGGUCUGUCGCGUCUGCUGUGAAAACUCGGGGCUUAACCCCGGGCCUGCAGUGGGUACGGGCAGACUAGAGUGCGGUAGGGGAGACUGGAAUUCCUGGUGUAGCGGUGAAAUGCGCAGAUAUCUGGAGGAACACCGGUGGCGAAGGCGGCGUUCUGGACUGCAACUGACACUGAUGAACGAAAGCCAGGGAGCAAACGGG
rnacentral:rRNA from 1 species